rnacentral:lncRNA from 1 species
AAAACCACAAUGGGUAUUUAGUAAUUGAUAGGGAAACUCUUGUAGAAGCAGAGUUAGGAAAAUUGCCUAAUAAUUGGUCUGCUCAAACAUGCGAGCUAUUUGCACUCAGCCAAGCCUUAAAGUGUUUACAGAAUCAAAAAAACUCAAUCUCAAUCCUGACUCAAAAGGUUACCUACACCCUCUCUGAAAUGAAUUUGCAUAAGAACUGUUGUUUAUGGGAAUGCAUCUUGAUGGGGCAACUGGGUUGUUAUGAAAUACUCAGGAACCCAGCCCAGCUCCAGGACUCACCCCUGAGCAAAAAAGCAAUGUUGGGCACUCUGGUAAAGGACCACUAGAAUCCAGCAGCCUGGACCCCUUUCUUUGUGGUCAAGAAAGGCAGGAAAAGGGGUGCAGGACUGCUACAUCAGUGAGUGCAACUAAUCUGAUAAGCAGAGGUCCAUGGGUGGUUACACACCCUGGAAAGGAAUAAACAUUAGGACCAUAGAGAACGCUCUAGGACUAAUGCUCAUUGGAAAAUGACUAGGGGUGCUGGCAUCCCUAUGUCCUUUUUUCAGAUAGGAAAUGUUCCCCCCAAGGCAAAAAUGCCCGUAAGAUAUAUUCUGGAGAAUUGGGACCAAUUUGACUCUCAGAUGCUAAGAAAGAAAUGACUUACAUUCCUCUGCAGUACCACCUGGCCAUGAUGUCCUCUUCAAGGGGGAGAAACCUGGCCUCCUGAGGGAAGUAUAAAUUAUAACACCAUCUUACAACUAGACCUCUUUUGUAGAAAAGAAGGCAAAUGGAGUGAAGUGCCAUAUGUACAAACUUUCUUUUCAUUAAGAGACAACUUGCAAUUAUGUAAAAAGUAUGAUUUAUGCCCUACAGGAAGCCCUCAGAGUCUACCUCCCUAACCUGAUGUCCCCCUGACUCCUUCCCCAACUAAUAAGGACCCCCCUUUCAACCCAAACAGUCCAAAAGGACAUAGACAAAGGAGUAAACAAUGAACCAAAGAGUGCCAAUAUUCCCUGGUUAUGCACCCUCCAAGCGGUGGGAGAAGAAUUCGGCCCAGCCAGAGUGCAUGUACCUUUUUCUCUCUCACACUUGAAGCAAAUUAAAAUAGACCUAGGUAAAUUCUCAGAUAACCCUGAUGGCUAUAUUGAUGUUUUACAAGGAUUAGGACAAUCCUUUGAUCUGACAUGGAGAGAUAUAAUAUUACUGCUAAAUCAGACGCUAACCUCAAAUGAGAGAAGUGCUGCCAUAACUGGAGCCCGAGAGUUUGGCAAUCUCUGGUAUCUCAGUCAGGUCAAUGAUAGGAUGACAACGGAGGAAAGAGAACGAUUCCCCACAGGGCAGCAGGCAGUUCCCAGUGUAGCUCCUCAUUGGGACACAGAAUCAGAAGAUGGAGAUUGGUGCCGCAGACAUUUGCUAACUUGCGUGCUAGAAGGACUAAGGAAAACUAGGAAGAAGCCUAUGAAUUAUUCAAUGAUGUCCACUAUAACACAGGGAAAGAAAGAAAAUCCUACCACCUUUCUGGAGAGACUAAGGGAGGCAUUGACAAAGCAUAUCUCUCUGUCACCUGACUCUAUUGAAGGCCAACUAAUCUUAAAGGAAAAGUUUAUCACUCAGUCAGCUGCAGAUAUUAGAAAAAAACUUCCAAAGUCCGCCUUAGGCCCGGAGCAAAAGUUAGAAACCCUACUGAACUUGGCAACCUCGGUUUUUUAUAAUAGAGAUCAGGAGGAGCAGGCAGAAUGGGACAAAUGGGAUAAAAAAAAAAAGGCCACUGCUUUAGUCAUGGCCCUCAGGCAAGCGGACUUUGGAGGCUCUGGAAAAGGGAAAAGCUGGGCAAAUAGAAUGCCUAAUAGGGCUUGCUUCCAGUGCGGUCUCAAGGACACUUUAAAAAAGAUUAUCCAAAUAGAAAUAAGCCACUCCCUUGUCCAUGCCCCUUAUAUCAAGGGAAUCACUGUAAGGCCCACUGCCCCAGGGGACGUAGGUCCUCUGAGUCAGAAGCCACUAACCAGAUGAUCCAGCAGCAGGACUGAGGGUGCCUGGGGCAAGCACCAGCCCAUGCCAUCACCCUCACAGAGCCCUGGGUAUGCUUGACCAUUGAGGGCCAGGAGGCUAACUGUCUCCUGGACACUGGUGUGGCCUUCUCAGUCUUACUC